rnacentral:rRNA from 1 species
UUCACCCCAAUUACCGAUCACACUUUAGGCGGCUGCCCCCCUUGCGGGUUAGCCCACCGACUUCUAGUGCAACCGACUUUCGUGAUGUGACGGGCGGUGUGUACAAGGCCCGGGAACGUAUUCACCGCGGCGUUCUGAUCCGCGAUUACUAGCGAUUCCAGCUUCAUGCACUCGAGUUGCAGAGUACAAUCCGAACUGAGAACGGCUUUUUGAGAUUAGCUCCACCUCACGGCUUUGCGACUCCUUGUACCGUCCAUUGUAGCACGUGUGUAGCCCUGGACAUAAAGGCCAUGAGGACUUGACGUCAUCCCCACCUUCCUCCGGUUUAUCACCGGCAGUCUCCAUAGAGUUCUCGCCACUACGCGUUAGCAACUAUGGACAAGGGUUGCGCUCGUUGCGGGACUUAACCCAACAUCUCACGACACGAGCUGACGACAGCCAUGCAGCACCUAUGCACCGGCCUCCGAAG